ACGCUCGACACCUACAGGAGGCAGCAGUGGGGAAUAUUGCACAAUGGGGGAAACCCUGAUGCAGCGACGCCGCGUGAGUGAAGAAGUAUUUCGGUAUGUAAAGCUCUAUCAGCAGGGAAGAAAAUGACGGUACCUGAGUAAGAAGCCCCGGCUAACUACGUGCCAGCAGCCGCGGUAAUCUGAGCGGGCUGGCAAGGC
rnacentral:rRNA from 1 species